rnacentral:rRNA from 1 species
UACGUAGGGUGCAAGCGUUGUCCGGAAUUAUUGGGCGUAAAGCGCUCGUAGGCGGUCUGUCGCGUCGGCUGUGAAAUCCCGGAGCUCAACUCCGGGUCUGCAGUCGAUACGGGCAGACUGGAGUUCGGCAGGGGAGACUGGAAUUCCUGGUGUAGCGGUGAAAUGCGCAGAUAUCAGGAGGAACACCGGUGGCGAAGGCGGGUCUCUGGGCCGAUACUGACGCUGAGGAGCGAAAGCGUGGGGAGCGAACAGG